rnacentral:lncRNA from 1 species
CAGUCUAGCUAAAAAUUUGUCAUUUUAUUGAUCUUUUGAAAGAACUAGCUUUGAUUUCAUGUUUGCUCUGUUGUUUUGCACUGUUCUGUCAAUUUCUGCUGUACAGAAAAGUGACCCAGUUAUAUUUUUAUACACAUUUUUUCACAUUGCCCUCCAUCAUUUUCUAUCACAGGUGACCAGAUAUGGUUCCCUAUUCUAUACAGCAGGAUCUCAUUUCUUAUCCACUCCAACUGAAAUUGUUUGCACAUACUAACCCUCAACUCCCAGUCCCUCCACCCAUUUCCUCUCCCUCUUGACAACUACAAGUCUGUUCAACAUGAGUUUGUUUCUUUUUUGUAGCUAGGUUCUUUUAUGCCAUAUAUUAGAUUCCAAAUAUAAGUGAUAUUUAUGGUAUUUGUCUUUCUCUUUCUGACUUACUUCACUUAGUAUGAGAGUCUCUAUUUCCAUCCAUGUUGCUACAAAUGGCAUUAUUUUUGUUCUUUUUUAUGGCUGUGUAGCAUUCCAUUGUAUAUGUACAUCUUAAUCCAUUCAUCCAUUGCUUUUCUCUAUUUCAUUUAUUUAUGUUCUAAUCUUUAUUCCCUUCUUUCUACUUGCUUUGGAUUUAGUUUGUUUUUCUUUCCCUGGUUUCUUUUUGGCUACAAAUGGCACUCAUUUUUAAAUUACUCAAUGAAUUUAUCACAUCUGUAGUUGUAUAAUGAUCAUCACAAACCAAUUUCACAAGAUUUCCUUAGUUUCUUAAGGUGAAAAGUUAUUUAUUUAUUUGGCAUUUCUAGGGCCGCUUCUGUGGCAUAUGGAGGUUCCCAGGCUAGGGGUCGAAUCGGAGCUGUAGCCAUUGGCCUACACCAGAGCCACAGCAACGUGGGAUCCAAGCCGCAUCUGCAACCUACACCACAGCUCAGGGCAACGCCAGAUCCUUAACCCACUGAGCAAGGCCAGGAAUCGAACCUGCAACCUCAUCGUUCCUAGUUGGAUUCAUUAACCACUGAGCCAUGACAGGAACUCCAAGGUGAAAAGUUAUUGAUUUGAAAGCAAAGCUACGGAGCUAAGGAUCAGUGGUUGCUAGAAGUUAGAGGAGAGGGAGAGAUGAAUAGAUGGAGCACAGAAAAUUUUUAGGGCAGUGAAACUAUCCUAUUUGAUACUAUAAUAGUGGAUAUAUGUUGUAUAUUUGUCAAAAUCCAUAUAAUAUAUAGUACCAAGAGUGAACCCUAAUGUAAACUAUGGAUUUAGGUGAUGAAAAUGUACCAGUAUAUGUUCAUCAGUUAUAAUAAAUAUGCCACUUAUGUGUGAAUUUUUUCUUUUUUGGCUGCACCCAUGGCAUAUGGAAGUUCCUGGGCCAGGGAUAGAAUCCUAACUGCAGCUGAGACCUAUGCCAUAGCUGUAGCAAAGCCAGAUCCUUAAUUCACUGUGCUGGAACAGGAAUCAAUCUUCCCCACUGAGCAGAGACAAUGCCAACUGCACCACAGCAGGAACUUCCUGUGUGUGUUGUUGAUAAUAGGGGAGGCUGUGUGUAUGUUGGAGCAGAGUGUAUAUGGGAAAUCUCUACCUUCUGCUCAUUUUGGUGUAAACUCAGAACUGCUCUAAAAAUAAUACUAUUAAAAAUCAGAAGUUAUUUUUAAAAACCAAUAAACAAAAAAUCCUCACAACCAACUUAAGGGCCAAUCUCUUUCCCUAAGUUCUGCAGUCUUGCCCUUCAAGAUUCCUCUGUGAUGAUCCAGAAUAUGAUGAAUACCAAGACAUGCAAACCUGCUGUACUACUACCUGUUAGUUCUCCUAGUAAAUGUUGAUCCUAGUUAUUGUUAUUAUAUAAUAUAUUCUACCAGAUUAUUCACACUAUAAUUUCUUCCAUGUUUGAGUACUUCUUUAAAAAUAUUCUUUUUAUUCUCUAAAUUGAGGGAGAGAUUGGAGUUUCUUCUAAUUAAAUUGCCUUAUGAUCAAAGAAUGCUAUUGGUAUGUCAUUGAUUCAUUCGAGUUUGUUAAGAUUUGCUUUGUGGUCUAGUAAGUAGUAAUUACAUACUUGAAAAGAAUGCGUAUUUCCUAACAGUUGAAUGCAGAAAUCUACACUUUCUUUAAAUAAAGUUUAUUACCCGUAUAGUUAAAAUCCUUACCCAGGCUAAAUUUUUAUUCUUUUGACCUUAAUUAUUGAGUAUUUAUUAAAACCAUCCAUUAUGAUUUUGUAUUUUUUAAGUUUGCCCAAGAAUUUUGUUAAUUUUUACUUCAUAUAUUUUGGGAAUAUGUUUUUAAAUUACACCAAAUUUAGAAUUAUAUCUUUCAGGCAACAUAUUCCUUUUUACCAUUCUCAAACAUACUUUUACUUCCAUCCAAAUGUUUUCCUUAAAGUUUAAUAUGACAAAUAUUAAUAUAACCAUGCCAACUUCCUUCCUGUUUAAAAAAAGGUCGUUUGAAAUCUUAUUUUUUUCCUUGUUUUAUUUUAAAUGAUUUUAUUUUUCCAUUAUAGCUGGUUUACAGUGUUCUGUCAAUUUUCUACUGUAGAGCAAGGUGACCCAGUCACACAUACACAUAUACAUUCUUUUUCUCGCAUUAUCCUCCAUCAUGCUUCAUCAUAAGUGACUAGAUAUAGUUCCCAGUGCUAUACAGUAGGAUUUCCUUGCUUUUUCAUUCCAAAGGCAAUAGUUUGCAUCUAUUAACCCCAGAUUCUCAGUCCACCUCACUCCCUCCCCCUCACUCUACAAGUCCAUGAUUUUCUGUGCCAUGUAUUGGAUUCCAAAUAUAAGUGAUAUCAUAUGGUAUUUGUCUUUCCCUUUCCGACUUAUUUCACCUACUAUGAGAAUCUCUAGUUCCAUCCAUGUUGCUGCAAAUGGCAUUCUUUUGUUCUUUUUUAUGGUUGGGCAGUAUUCCAUUUUGUAUAUAUACCAUAUCUUCUUAAUCCAUUCACCUGUCAAUGGAUGUUUAGGUUGUUUCCAUGUCUUGGCUAUUGUGAAUACUGCUGCAAUGAACAUGUAAGUGCAUGUGUCGUCUUCAAGUUUUGUCUGGAUAUAUGCCCAAGAGUGGGAUUGCUUGUUCAUAUGGUAGUUCAAUGUAUAGUUUUCUGAGGUAGGUCCAUACUGUUUUCCAUAGUGGUUGUACCAAUUUACAUUCCCACCAACAGUGUAAGAGGGUUCCCUUUUCUCCACACUCUCUCCAGCAUUUGUUAUUUGUGGACUUAUUAGUGAUGGCCAUUCUGAUUGGUGUGAGGUGGUUCCUCAUAGUAGUUUUGACUUGCAUUUCUCUAAUAAUCAGUGAUGUUGAGCAUUUUUUUGUAUGUGCUUGUUGGCCAUCUGUUUAUCUUCUUUGGAGAAAUGUCUAUUCAGGUCUUUUGCCCAUUUUUCUUUUUCUUUUUUCCAUUGGGUUGUUGGAUUUUUUGCUGUUGAGUUUCUUUAGGCCAUUUUGAGUUUAUUUUUGUGCAUGGUCUGAAGGUGUGUUCCAGUUUCAUUGAUUUGCAUGCAGCUGUCCAUGUUUCCUAGAAAUAUUUGCUAAAAAGACUGUCUUUUUCCCAUUUUAUGUUCUUGCCUCCUUUGUCAAAAAUUAAUUGAAUGUAGGUGUCUUGAGUUUAUUUCUGGGAUCUCUAUUCUGUUCUAUUGGUCUGUAUGUCUGUUUGGUACCAGUACCACACUGUCUUGAUGACUGUGGCUUUGUAAUAUUGCCUGAAGUCUGGGAAAGUUAUACCUCCUGCUUGGUUUUUGUUCCUCAGUAUUGCUUUGGCAAUUCUGGGUCUUUUGUGGUUCCAUCCUUAUUCUUUAAAUAUAGGUUUUUUUCAGCUGUAAAUUUCUUUCUAAGCACUGAUUUGGCAUCAUCCUAUAAGCUUUGAUAUAUUGUGUUUUUGUUUUCAUUCAUAUUUGCAUAUUUCCUAAUUUUCUUUCUGAUUUUUUUCUUUACCCAUUUGUUAUUCAAGAGUGUGCUUUUUAAUAUCCAUAUACUUGUGAAUUUUCUAAAUUCUCUUGAUUUCUAAUUUUAAUCCAUUGUGUUUGGAAAACAAACUUUAUAUGAUUUUAACUCUUUUAUAUUGAUUAUUUUAUGGCUUCAAAAGCCUUUUGUUUAAAAUAUUUUGUAUUUCUGUUUUGAAGUUUUCUGUAUAGAUAACUUAAUUUUCUUGAUUAAUUCCUAGAUACUCUAUAUUUUUCAUUGAGAGGAUUUAUUAUGUUUAUUCAUUAUUGGUUUUGAGAAAUGCUUUUAAUUCUGUAAGUUAAUCAUGUAGAUGGAAAAUAUAGCUUAACUGCCAUUCUAAAAAUCUGACUGUUGGAAAUGUGUGAGUUUAUAACCUGCUAUCAAAAAAAGUGGAUGACAGAGUUCCUGUCAUGGCUCAGCAUUUAACGGACCUGACUAGUAUCCAUGAGGACAGGUUGGAUUAUUGUGUUAAGGAUGUGGUGUGGCCAUGAGCUGUGGUAUAGGUCGCAGAUGUGGCUUGGAUCCCAAGCUGCUGUGGCUGUGGCAUAGGUCAGCAGCUGUAGCUCUGAUUUGACCCCUAGUCUGGGAAUUUCCAUAUGCUGAGGGUGCAGCCCCAGGAAAAAAAAAAAAAAAAA